AUUGAACGCUGGCGGCAUGCCUUACACAUGCAAGUCGAACGGUAACAGGUCUUCGGAUGCUGACGAGUGGCGAACGGGUGAGUAAUACAUCGGAACGUGCCUAGUAGUGGGGGAUAACUACUCGAAAGAGUGGCUAAUACCGCAUGAGAUCUACGGAUGAAAGCAGGGGAUCGCAAGACCUUGUGCUACUAGAGCGGCCGAUGGCAGAUUAGGUAGGUGGUGGGAUAAAAGCUUACCAAGCCGACGAUCUGUAGCUGGUCUGAGAGGACGAUCAGCACCACUGGGACGAGGAAACGGCCCAGACUCCUACGGGAGGCAGGCGUGGGGAAUUUUGGCCAAGGGACGCAAGCCUGAUCCAGCAAUGCCACGUGCAGGAUGAAGGCCGUGGGGUUGUAAACUGCUUUUGUACGGAACGAAAAGCCCCGGGUUAAUACCCUGGGGUCAUGACGGUACCGUAAGAAUAAGCACCGGCUAACUACGUGCCAGCCGCCGCCGUAA
rnacentral:rRNA from 1 species